rnacentral:misc_RNA from 1 species
ACCGGCUUGACGCCGGCAGUCCCCCGAGAGUCCUCAGCUUUACCUGUUAGUAACACGGGGCAAGGGUUGCGCUCGUUGCGGGACUUAACCCAACAUCUCACGACACGAGCUGACGACAACCAUGCACCACCUGUCACCGCUGUCCCCGAGGGGAAAGGUAUAUCUCUAUACCGGUCAGCGGGAUGUCAAGACCUGGUAAGGUUCUUCGCGUUGCUUCGAAUUAAACCACAUGCUCCACCGCUUGUGCGGGCCCCCGUCAAUUCCUUUGAGUUUCAGCCUUGCGGCCGUACUCCCCAGGCGGAGUGCUUAAUGCGUUAGCUGCGGCACAGAGGGAUUCGACUCCCCCCACACCUAGUGUUCAUCGUUUACGGCUAGGACUAC